rnacentral:tRNA from 10 species
GUUUAGCAGCUGCCAAGGGUAAAGAAUGGUUUAAGUCAUUUCCUAUAAGCUCUUCACACAAAAGAACAGGAAUAAAUUGGAUUGAAUCUAUUUGACUCAGCACUAUCUUGUGACUUUAUGAUCUGUUGCAGUUUUCAACUGAACUAUCUGCUUACCAGUGUUCAACUCCAUUUGAUCUUUGGGAGUUUCAGUUGAAGAACACUUGAAGGUCUGAACACAAAGAGGCAUAUCUGCACAUAGAACUGAUUUAGAUAACAAGAUCCUGAACUUCGAACAAAAGAUGUGAUGGAAUAAGACUUUGUGGAGGGGCCUUGGAGCAACUGAGUUUAUUUUGCAUUUGGAAGGAAUAUAAAUAAUUUGUAGCCAGCGGGCAGACUCCAGCAUAUUAAAAUGGCCAAAAUAUUUUUGCUACUUCUCCCAUUGAGAGGUAGAGUUUAAUUUUUAUCUCUAUGGAUCUGGCUGUUUCUGCUACUAAUUUACAAAAGAAACACUAUAGAUGUGACACUGUCAGUUUCCUGGACCAGGCUUUAAAGAUCUGGCAUCUUCCAUGUACUGUCUCUGGGACUGCUAGCUCAAAGUUCAAAAACUUCCACAAAAGAAGGCCAACUAUCCUGAGACCACUGUAUUGAAGAGGCCAUGCGUAAGAACUCAGACCAACAGUCCAAGCUGUGCUUUGCCUUCUAGCAUUCCCUGCCAAAGCACAUGGGGUGUGAGGGGAGCCAAACUGGCCUCUCUGUGACAGUCCAACAGCCAAAUCAAUUGCAACAAGUGACCUCAGUUAAUGACACAUGCAGCCAAAAAAUGGCCGCCUGAGACAUGCUCACAAUUUCCGAUUUUAAAAAGCAAAAAACCAUGAGAUAUAGUAACAUGUUCGUUGUUGUAACACACUACAUUUUGGAAUGAUUUGUUAAGCAAAAUUAGAUAACAAGAACAUAAGGAUGAGAAAGGUCUCCAUUUCUGUUUAUAUGAAGACAGGCAGCUGAGAAGCAUGCAAGAUAAUAUUUGACAAGUUCUUUCUCAGUCCAUAUUAUUCUGGUACUUAAAAAAAAUUAUAUACUGGAAAUCCUAAAUCACUUGGAGAUACUGACUGUAGUAUGUAGUGUAUUCAAAUUACAGUCUAUUUUUAAACAAUAGGAAAAAUGCAAGAACAAUACUAUCAAUUAAAGUUGAUGUCAAGAUAUAAUUGUAAAAAGAAAAGCUUGUAAUAUAGUACACUGGUUCACCCAGAAUUAUAUAUAUUAAUUAAUAGUUAGCCUUCUUGGAAUAAGUUAAAGCAAGUAAUGAUGGACAUCAAAACUCUAUUUUGUACUAUUUAUUAGAUAAACCAUAUGUCCACUUUUGAAAUGCAAUUUUCUUUUACUUUUCAGGGAUUGCUUAGCUUAUAAUACUUAUUUAAGAGUAGAACAAAUAAUUCUAUCUGAACUUUUGAAAAAGUAGAUAAAAACAUACUGUAUCCCAGCUGGGCGUGGUGGCUCACGCCUGUAAUCCCAGCACUUCCAGAGGCCGAGGCAGGUGGAUCACGAGGUCAGGAGAUCAAGACCAUCCUGGCUAACAUGGUGAAACCCUAUCUCUACUAAAAAAUACAAAAAAUUAGCCGGGCGUGGUGGUGGGCGCCUGUAGUACCAGCUACUUGGGAGGCUGAGGCAGGAGAAUGGCGUGAACCCGGGAGGCGGAGCUUGCAGUGAGCCAAGAUCAUGCCACUGCACUCCAGCCUGGGCAACAGAGUAAGACUCCGUCUCAAAAAAAAAAAAAAAAAGUGUAUCCCUUAGUAAGCUUAUUUUACAACCUUAGUAAUAUUCAAUGCCUAAAUAUCUAAAACUACCUUAAUAACUUUUUAAUGUAUAUUUGCAAUAUAUGAAUGUAAAGUGUAAUGAAUAAAAUACAGUAAUUACAAUAAAAAAUGCAUUUCCCAUUAUCAGAACUCUUUUCAAAGUGCUCUUCUAAAAGAAUAACAUGUAUUUAAUAGAUAUGGCAGAAAGCUAGAAGUAAUCAGUAAAACCGAGAAUAAAAAAUGUAGUGAGGGACACUGGAAUACAAGUUUAGAAAGUGUCACUUUGCAAAGUUACUUUCUUGAAUAAUCCUCUUUCCUACCACCCUGUCACAAAAGACAACCUAUGAAAUCAACAAAAAUGUGAUGAAAUAUAAUCGACUUGAUUUUAUGUAUGGUCUUAAUGAAAUUUUGAUAUAGUUUAGGCAGAUUUUUAUCUCAGGUUUUUUGUUUUGUUUUGUUUUGUUUUUCUGUUGUUGAGACAGGGUCUAGAUCUUUUGCCCACGCUGGAAUACACUGUAUCAUCAAAUACCUUCCACCUCAGCCUCCUGAGUAGCUAGGACUAUAGGUGUACACUGCCACACAGGCUAAUUUUAUUUAUUUUUAUUUUUGGUAGAGCUGAGCUCUUGAUAUGUUGUCCAGGCUGCUCUUGAACUCCUAGCUGCAAACAGUCCUCCCACCUCGGCCUCCUAAAGUGCUGGGAUUACAGGCAUGAACCACUACACCCUGGCCUAGAUAAUUUGUUUGAAAAAAAAAAAAAGAAAGAAACACAAAAAUUCUUCUAAGGAAGCAUAUUAAAAAUAGGUUUUUCUGUUUCUUCUUUGAAAUAAAAUAAAUCUAAAAUAAUAGGCUGAUGUGCCCUUACCACAAACAGAAGUAACUAUUUGUCGGUGUGAAAUAUUAUUUCCCUGCAAUGAGUACACCACUGAGUUCAGAUGUAUUUAUUAGUCUAUAACUGGAGAUAAAAAUAUAACCUGAUGUCACAAUAAUUUCUGCAGGCUUUUGAGGCACGUUCUUAUUCUCCUUCCAUUGUACCAUCCUAAAUUAACUCUGGUGAGAAGCUUCACUUCCACUCUUCAUUCUAUACUGAGGAGCCAUGGGUCUUGACAAUGAAAUAAAUAACAUGAAAUACAUCUGUUUUCCUUUCUGUUAGAUAAAAGAAACCCAAGAGAACACUGUAACCUGAAAAUAAUCAACUGAUGAGUAAAUGACAGUCUUCAGCAUUUCUAGUACACUCAGUCUGGCAAAACUGUGGCCUAUACCCUUAAGUUAUAUAUUUAUAACAGGCAGAUAAACACCAUCUUUAUUUACAGAACUCUUAGGGAACUAUAUGAAGCAAGCUAAAAAUAUUUAAAAGAAUAUGUAGGACUUUUUUAAAAUAUAUUUUUAUAUUUUUGAUUAGUCUAUCAUUAAUGCCAAUACAGUCAAACCUAAAGAGCAUGCUCCCUUAGCCCUCAUACCAAGAUUUGGGGAAGACAUUUUUGUCUUCAGUCUGAUGAAAAUUUCAGGUAGUUUCUUUUGUAUAGGAAAAAUGUUCACCAGAAUAUUUUAGGAUCAGCCAUUUGAAAGAGAUUUCCUCAUCAGUUUAGGUGGAAGAAGUCCCUGAAGUUUAUCAUUGUUAAGAAGUUAAGGGUGAAAUUGUUGGUGGGAAGGUAAAUUAGUACAGCCAUAAUGAAAAUUUUUUGAAAACAAAAAAUAAAAAAUAUAACUAUUGCAUGAUUCAGCAAUCCCAUUGCUGGGUAUAUAUCCAAAGGAGAUGAAAUCAGUAUGUUAGAGAUAUCUGCACUUCCAUGUUCAAAGAGCAUUAUUCACAAUAGCCAAGAUAUGAAAUCAACUUUAAUGUUCAUCAACAGUUAAAUGGAUAAAGAAGAUAUAGUAUAUUUGCACAAUGGAAUGCUAUUCAUUCAUAAAACAGAAGAAAAUCAUCUCAUUUGCAACAAUGUGGAUAAACUGGAAAGACAUUAUGUUAAGUCAAACAAAGUAGACACAGAAAGACAAAUACUGCAUGAUUUCACUUCAAUGCAAAGUGUAAAAAAUUUGAACUGCGGUGGCUCACGCCUGUAAUCCCAGCACUUUGGGAGGUCGAGGCGGGCAGAUCAUGAGGUCAGGAGUUCAAGACCAGCCUGGCCAAUAUGGUGAAACCCCAUCUCUACUAAAAAUACAAAAAAUAGCCGGGUGUGGUGGCACGCACCUGUAGUCGCAGCUACUUGGGUGGCAGAGGCAGAAGAAUCACUUGAACCCGGGAGGUGGAGGUUGCAGUGAGCCGAGAUCGCACCACCGCACUCCAACCUGGGCGACAAGAGUAAGACUCUGUCUCAAAAAAAACAAAAUUUGAACUGAUAGAAGUAGAUAGUAGAAUGCUCAUUACCAGGGGCUUGUGGAGGGAGGAGACUGGGAAAAUGUUGGGACAAAUAUGUUCAAGAAAGCUAUCGUCCAACAUGAUGACUAUAGUUAAUAACAAUGAUUAUAAUCUUGAAAAUUGCUAAAAAGAAUACGUAGGAUGUUUUAAAAAUAUUUUUUUAUAUUUUUGACUAGUCUAUCAUUAAUGCCAAUACAGUCAAAGCUAAGGAGCUUCAUUCCCUUAGCCCUCACAGAUUGACAUAUUUUUACCACAAACAUAAGCAAGUGAGAUUAUAAAUAUGUUAAUUAGCUCAAUUUAGUCAUUUCAUAAUGUAUACAUAUUUCAAAACAACAGCCUGUACAUGGUAAAUACAUACAAUAUUUACUGGUCAAUUAAAAUAAUAAAUUUCAAAAAUAAGUAAAACAUGAAGAAUUUGAUCAUUAAUUACAAUAUUUGUAAAUAAACCUGGAUGAAUAGAUGUCUCUCUUUUCUCUCUUACUUUUUCUAAAUAUUUGUACAGAGUUCUUAGCUGUCUCCCAUUCCCCUUUAUCUCACCAGAGAAAGUGAUCCUCUUUACAGUGACCGAAGCUAUUAAUCGUAAUGUAACGCAGAGCAAAGACAUACAGAAGGUCAGAGGGGCAAGGGACUUAAUUUAAGGCAAUAUCUCUUUCAGCUUUGUCACUCAACCCAUGAAUAUACUGAGGUCCAUAAGAAUUAAGUUCAUUUUUCAGUCCAAAUAGCUCGAUUCCUGAGCAUCUCCACUACUUUUGUUUAAAAAAAGGUCAUGGGGGCAGCAGACAAACAAACCAGAAGCAAAACAGAAAAACCAUACAUAAAACAAAACAGAACCAAACAAAAAAAAUGCCUUUUUGUAGCGCUGGUGUUAGCUGUUUUCUGACUCUGAAUUCUUAAAGCAGUUAAUUUCACCUUCCAUUAUAUUAUUACACAUUAUUUCUAUAAUUCUGGUGUUAUUAAUAUUUUCCUCAAUAGUUUAUAUAACGUAUUCACUGAAUGCAUGCUAUGUGAAGGCAUUGCACUGAAAAGCUAGGAAAUUGUUUGUGGCUUAAAAAAAGGGAUGAACUCCAUUAUGAAACAUAUAAAUUUAAGCAUAUUAAUAAUAGUAAAAAUGAUAAGCAUGCAUACAGAAAUACGCAAAAUAUGCUAUGAAAAUGGUUGUUUUCAGUAAAA